CCGCAAGCGAAAAUCCCCGGGUGGGUGGUACCCAGAGCAGGAUUCCUGCGCCUCAGGAGGGAGAGGAGGAGAGCGGGGAGGACUUGAGCCGUGGGGACGAAGAGAGAGGCGCAGCCUGUGAAGGAAACGUGUCCCUGCAGAGCAGGGGGGGCGCCCCGGCUGUUCCUUCCCACCCCUCCGAGCCUCCCGCUGCCGAGGACCGCGACGCGGAGAACGCGGGUGCUGAGGACAUCGCUGCUGCCCCGAGCCGGGAGUCGGGUGUCGACGUUACUCCUCCGAGCCGAUCUCCGCGCAAAGGGGACAAGGGAGCUCCGUCUGCGAAUGCUGAGGUCUACCCCAUAUUCAGCGCU